UGGAAUGUGCUUUUCAACAUGAAAAUUUGAUCAAAAGUGAGAAUUUAUUCUUGAGUCAAAAGCAUGAAGUUUAUACUGUAGAACAGAAGAAGGUAGCACUGAGCUGGAAUGACGACAAGCGGAUCGUGUUUCACAACACGACCGACACGCUUCCGUGGGGCUAUAAGCCUGGACCUUAGCGUAUACGUUUGAGCUUUGUAAUUACCGUAUCGUAAUCUAUAGAGGAUUAAAGUUAUAACUGU